rnacentral:rRNA from 1 species
GACAAACGCUGGCGGCGUGCUUAACACAUGCAAGUCGAGCGGUAAGGCUCCUUCGGGAGUACACGAGCGGCGAACGGGUGAGUAACACGUGAGCAAUCUGCCCUUCACACGGGGAUAACCCUCGGAAACGAGAGCUAAUACCCGAUACGACCACUUCAGGCAUCUGAUGGUGGUGGAAAGUUCCGGCGGUGAAGGAUGAGCUCGCGGCCUAUCAGCUUGUUGGUGGGGUAACGGCCCACCAAGGCAACGACGGGUAGCCGGCCUGAGAGGGUGACCGGCCACACUGGGACUGAGACACGGCCCAGACUCCUACGGGAGGCAGCAGUGGGGAAUAUUGGACAAUGGGCGAAAGCCUGAUCCAGCAGCGCCGCGUGAGGGAUGACGGCCUUCGGGUUGUAGACCUCUUUCAGCAGGGACGAAGCGCAAGUGACGGUACCUGCAGAAGAAGCACCGGCCAACUACGUGCCAGCAGCCGCAGUAA